rnacentral:rRNA from 1 species
UACAGAGGGUGCGAGCGUUUGUUCGGAAUUAUUGGGCGUAAAGGGCGCGUAGGCGGCGCCACAAGUCACCUGUGAAAACUCUGGGCUCAACCCAGAGCCUGCAGGCGAAACUGUGGUGCUGGAGUAUGGGAGAGGUGCGUGGAAUUCCCGGUGUAGCGGUGAAAUGCGUAGAUAGUCGGGAGGAACACCUGUGGCGAAAGCGGCGCACUGGACCAUAACUGACGCUGGAGGCGACGAAAGCUAGGGGAGCAAACAGG